AUUGAACGCUGGCGGAAUGCUUUACACAUGCAAGUCGAACGGUAGAGGGGGCAACCCCUCGAGAGUGGCGAACGGGUGAGUAAUAUAUCGGAGCGUGCCCAAUCGUGGGGGAUAACGUAGCGAAAGUUACGCUAAUACCGCAUACGAUCUACGGAUGAAAGCGGGGGAUCGCAAGACCUCGCGCGAAUGGAGCGGCCGAUAUCAGAUUAGGUAGUUGGUGGGGUAAAGGCUCACCAAGCCAACGAUCUGUAGCUGGUCUGAGAGGACGACCAGCCACACUGGAACUGAGACACGGUCCAGACUCCUACGGGAGGCAGCAGUGGGGAAUUUUGGACAAUGGGCGAAAGCCUGAUCCAGCCAUGCCGCGUGAGUGAAGAAGGCC
rnacentral:rRNA from 1 species